UUAUGUGACCUGGAAACUAGAGUCAUUCUGUGAUGAUUUUUGUGUGCAUGUCACUUGGGGGUCCCUUCUCUCUCUCUCUCUCUAUGUGUGUGUGUGUGUGUGUAUAUAUAUAUAUGUUCACAGUACAUUUUAACUGCAUAAUUAAAAUUUUGGGCAUACAUUCUGCUAACUGAAAUUGCUUCAAGCAUGGGACUUGCAAUGAAAUUUCAGAAAAAGAAUAAAGAAACAAAAGGGAGAGAUGGAAUGACACCUCUGGCAUUGAAGGCAAAGAGAAAAAUUUACAACAUGAACUCAUAUCUCUCCACAACAGUUCUUUCUCGUUUAUGAAGAACAAUAAAGAGCACUAAAUGCAGGGAUGGGGAAAAAAUCAGACUAAUCUUACACAGCAACUGGUAUGGCUUCAUCAAGAGCAAGGACACCUGGAAGCUCUUUGCCUUCCAACAACUCCAAACUG